rnacentral:tRNA from 1 species
GCGGGUGUAGCUCAGUUGGUAGAGCGACUGCUUCCCAAGCAGUAGGUCACGGGUUCGAAUCCCGUUACCCGCUCCA